GAGACUCUGUGCGCGUGCAUAUCAAUAAGCGGAGGAAAAGAAACUAACAAGGAUUCCCUUAGUAACGGCGAGUGAAGCGGGAAGAGCUCAAAUUUGAAAUCUUCAAGGUUUGACCUUGACGAAUUGUAGUUUAAAGAAGUGUUUUCGGUUAGAGGAGUAGUAAAAGUUCUUUGGAAUAGGACAUCAUAGAGGGUGAGAAUCCCGUAUUUGACCAUUAUUUUCAGCUGUGUGAUACACUUUCAAAGAGUCGGAUUGUUUGGGAAUGCAGUCCAAAAUGGGUGGUAAAUUUCAUCUAAAGCUAAAUAUUGGCGAGAGACCGAUAGCGAACAAGUACCGUGAGGGAAAGAUGAAAAGAACUUUGAAAAGAGAGUUAAACAGUACGUGAAAUUGUCAAAAGGGAAGCGUUUGACACCAGUGUUGUUUUCUCGAAAAUCAAUUAAAAAUGGCCGGAUUUUGUGUUGUAUUGACCUUUAUAAGCUUUCUUCACUCUUUUCUUGUCUUUUUUAAUGCACUUUUCGUUUAACAAGUCAACAUCAGUUUCUUUUGUUGUAAAAGAGGUCAUUGGAAGGUGGCUUUCAUUUCGGAUGAAAGUGUUUAUAGCCUUUGAUCUUCUGCAAUCGGAGAGAUUGAGGUCUGCAGCGUAGACUCCUUCGGGGUUAGAUACAUUUGUGCUAAGUUAUAGCUUUUCAUAGACAACUUGUUGACUAUAUUUAGUCUUGUAGGCUUACUCGCUUACUGCUAUUUUACCUACGCUUAGGAUGUUGAUCUGUAGUGCGUGCGC
rnacentral:rRNA from 1 species